AACGAACGCUGGCGGCAGGCCUAACACAUGCAAGUCGAACGCCCCGCAAGGGGAGUGGCAGACGGGUGAGUAACGCGUGGGAACGUACCCUUCGGUUCGGAAUAACCCGGGGGAAACUCGGGCUAAUACCGGAUACGUCCGCAAGGAGAAAGAUUUAUCGCCGAAGGAUCGGCCCGCGUCGGAUUAGCUAGUUGGUGGGGUAAUGGCCCACCAAGGCGACGAUCCGUAGCUGGUCUGAGAGGAUGAUCAGCCACACUGGGACUGAGACACGGCCCAGACUCCUACGGGAGGCAGCAGUGGGGAAUAUUGGACAAUGGGCGAAAGCCUGAUCCAGCCAUGCCGCGUGAGUGAAGGAGGCCUUAGGGUUGUAAAGCUCUUUCAGCGGGAAGAUAAUGACGGUACCCGCAGAAGAAGCCCCGG
rnacentral:rRNA from 1 species